rnacentral:rRNA from 1 species
UACGUAGGCAGCAAGCGUUGUUCGGAGUUACUGGGCGUAAAGGGUGCGUAGGCGGCCGAUUAAGUUUGUCGUGAAAUCUCCCGGCUCAACUGGGAGGGUGCGGCGGAUACUGACCGGCUCGAGUGCGGGAGAGGAGAGUGGAAUUCCUGGUGUAGCGGUGAAAUGCGUAGAUAUCAGGAGGAACACCGGCGGUGUAGACGGCUCUCUGGACCGUAACUGACGCUGAGGCACGAAAGCGUGGGUAGCAAACAGGAUUAGAAACCCGAGUAGUCC